rnacentral:rRNA from 1 species
CCUGAGAAACCCAAAAGAUCGAAUGGGGAGAUUCAUCGUCAAUAUGUUUUAUAUAUAUAUGCAUUAUGAUGUAAAUAUUAUGAUUUAAUUAUCAUUAUAAAUUUAUACAUAUGUAUAUUAUUUUAUUGUAAGACAUUGUCGGCGUGCACUUCUCCCCUAGUAGGACGUCGCGACCCGUUGGGUGUUGGUCUACGGCCUGAUUGGGUAGCCUUUAAUCGUUAUACAUUGAAGACCAAUUAGUGUUUCCUGACCAACUGCCCGGCGGUAUUCGUAUGGUAUUGAGUCGCAAUUUAUUUGCGUCCUCACCCGUCGCAAGCGAGGCCAGUAUCCCGGUAGUACGGACUUAGUGCCGUCGCUGGGCCUGGCCAGCUGUUGGCUGUACGGUGUUCUGGGACUGACUCAUAAUAAUUAUAAUUACCGGUCGGCGACGCUACUGCUUUGGGUACUUUCAGGACCCGUCUUGAAACACGGACCAAGGAGUCUAACAUGUGCGCGAGUCAUUGGGAUUUUUUUAAAAAAUUAAACCUAAAGGCGCAAUGAAAGUAAAGAUCGUCCUUGUGUCGAUUAAGGGAGGAUGAGACGUAUUACGAUACGUCUUCGCACUCCCGGGGCGUCUCAUUCUCAUUAUGAGAAGAGGCGCACCSAS